rnacentral:rRNA from 1 species
GGCAUGGAUUAGGCAUGCAAGUCGAACGAGGAUAUAUCCUUCGGGAUAUAAGCCGAGUGGCGCAAGGGUGAGUAAUGCAUAGAUUACCUACCUCUAGGAUAAGGACAACUUUGUGAAAACGAAGCUAAUACUUAAUAAUACAAAAGAAAAUAAUUUUCUUAUGUCAAUGGGAGGGUAGCAAUACCUUUUGCCUAGAGAGGGGUUUAUGUCCUAUCAGCUUGUUGGUGGGGUAAUGGCCUACCAAGGCGAAGACGGGUAGCCGGUCUUAGAGGAUGGUCGGCCACACUGGGACUGAGACACUGCCCAGACUUCUACGGAAGGCUGCAGUCGAGAAUCUUUCGCAAUGCCCGAAAGGGUGACGAAGCGACGCCGCGUGAGUGAGGAAGGCCUUCGGGUUGUAAGGCUCUGUCGGGAGUUAAGAAAUAUAAGUGUGCUGAUACCACAUUUAUUUGACGAAGGCUCCAAAGGAAGCCACGGCUAACUCUGUGCCAGCAGCCGCGGUAAUACAGAGGUGGCAAGCGUUGUUCGGAUUUAUUGGGCGUAAAAAGCACGUAGGUGGGUUUGUAAGUCAGAUGUGAAAGCCUUCUGUUCAACGGAAGAAUUGCAUCUGAAACUACAAGUCUUGAGUGUAGGAGGGGAGAAUGGAACUUCUGGUGGAGCGGUGAAAUGCGUAGAUAUCAGAAGGAACGCCGGCGGCGAAAGCGAUUCUCUGGCCUAUUACUGACACUCAGUGUGCGAAAGCUAGGGGAGCAAACGGGAUUAGAUACCCCGGUAGUCCUAGCCGUAAACGAUGGGCACUAAGUAGAGGGAAUUACCCGAUGUUCUCUCUGCCGUAGCUAACGCAUUAAGUGCCCCGCCUGGGGAGUACGGCCGCAAGGCUAAGACUCAAAAGAAUUGACGGGGGCUCACACAAGCGGUGG